AUUGAACGCUGGCGGCAGGCUUAACACAUGCACGUCGAGCGAGCGGCGGACGGGUGAGUAAUGUCUGGGAAACUGCCUGAUGGAGGGGGAUAACUACUGGAAACGGUAGCUAAUACCGCAUACCAUCAGAUGUGCCCAGCUGGGAUUAGCUAGUAGGUGGGGGAAAGGUUCACCUAGGCGGCGAUCCCUAUCUGGUCUUAGAGGAUGACCAGCCGCACUGGAACUGAGACACGGACCAGACUCCUACGGGAGGCAGCAGUGGGGAAUAUUGCACAAUGGGCGCAAGCCGGAUGCAGCCAGGCCGCGUGUGUGAGGAAGGCCUUCGGGUUGUAAAGCCCUUUCAGCGAGGAGGCGUUACUCGCAGAAGAAGCACCGGCGAACUCCGUGCCGGCAGCCGCGGUAAUUC
rnacentral:rRNA from 1 species